UCCAGGGUAGCCUAGUGAACAUGGCAUCUGCCCGGUAAGCGGAACAUUGUUGGUUCGAUUCCCAUCCCUGGAC
rnacentral:tRNA from 1 species